AAUACCCCACUUUUAUGCAGAGAUUUUCUAGUAUUGCAAGGAACAGAAAGAAAAUGUUUAGUUUUGUAGAAGAAAGCUGAGAGAUUUUACAUAAGAUAUGUCUUGGAAUCUUCAUGUUUCAUUUUGCAUACGAAAAUAGUGUUCGACUCAUCAAGAAAAUGUUGGAGACAUCUAUAGAGCUCCUUUUUCGUACCUGAUUGAUUUGAUGGUAGACUUCUGAAAUGAACCCAAGCUGAUAUUUUCUUUUCUACCAAUUAAGGGGUCAACGACAACUAAGUUCGAGAUAGUUAUAUAUGUAAUGUUUUUCUUUUAUGUAUAAACGAAUUUUCAUGUAAUGAGGUAAUGAGUGUUAGGGGGAAUUCUUUAGUAUUUUGUGAUGCAAGCUACAAAUCUUAUAUCUAAUUUUAUAUUUAAUUAGUCGAAGCUAUUUUUACCAUAUUAUUAUAUUAUAUCUUAAUCAAUUGAGAUAUUGAAGCCUGUCAGUUUUUUGUGGUACGACUUCCAAAUUUUUUUUAUAUUUGUACAUUUAAGAUAAUGAAUCUAAUGUUUCAGAAUUUUUUCUUAUGGGAUCAACUAUACCUACGUUUUUCACUUAAUUGCAUGUUGAUUGAUUUAUAUUAAAAAUAACUCACAUCCAAUUGAGUGUAAAGCGAAUGGUUUAUUCUGUGAUAUUUUCUCAAACAAACAACAAUAUUUUUAUGAUAUUUUCAAAGAAGGUAAUUUCACUUUUACGUAUUCCUAUUAUAAGUCCAAUAAUAUUCAAGUUUUGAUUCAAUCAUGAGAAGCUGUUUUUAAUACUCUCUUCAUAUACACGACUGAUUAAAAUUUGGGAUAAAAUAUAUUUCAACCUUCAGUUCUACUAAUUAAGGGUACAACGACAACUAAGUUCGAGAUAGUUAUGUAUCUAAUGUUUUUGUUUUAUGUAUAAAAUAAUUUUCAUGUGAUGAGGUCAUGAAUGUUAGGAGGAAUUCUAUAGUAUUUUGUGAUGCAAGCUACAAAUCUUUUAUCUAAUUUUAUAUUUAAUUAGUCGAAGCUAUUUUUACCAUAUUAUUAUAUUAUAUCUUAAUCAAUUGAGAUAUUGAAGCCUGUCAGUUUUUUGUGGUACGACUUUCAAAUUUUUUUUAUAUUUGUACAUUUAAGAUAAUGAAUCUAAUGUUUCAGAAUUUUUUCUUAUGGGAUCAACUAUACCUACGUUUUUCACUUGAUUGCAUGUAUAUUGAUUUAUAUUGAAAAUCAGCCACAUACAAUCGAGUGUAAAGCGAAUGGUUUAUUCUGUGAUAUUUUCUCCAACAAACAACAAUAUUUUUAUGAUGUUUUCAAACAAGGUAAUUUCACUUUUACGUAUUCCUAUUAUAAGUCCAAUGAUAUUCAAGUUUUGAUUCAAUCAUAAGAAGCUGUUUUUACUACUCCCUCUAUAUACACGACUGAUUAAAAUUUGGGAUAAAGUCUUUAGUAUUUUCUGGUACAAGCUCCAAAGUUUUUGCGAUAGAUUAUCAUGUUGGCCAAUUUAUUUUAAUCCUUAAUCUAAUAAUUGAAUUAAUUAAAUAGUUAGUAUAUCAAUUGAAGUAAGUUGUAUUACGUUAUAAAUAACUUUUUGUACAUGUACAUUUAUCAAGGGCGUAGACCUUUUUUUUCUCGGGGGGAGGGGGGGUGUGAGUGCGUUGGGUUUGUAUGUGGUGUGUUAAUAACUUUUUGACGACAUUGGUUACUCAUAUCUAUUAUGUGAGAAAAAGAGAUUUCAUGACGAAGUUUGAACCAAAUUACUCGAAAUAAUUUUUUUUAUUACCAAUUCGGUUGUUCUUACCUUAUAAUGGAUGUUCCUAAAUUAGAGUCAC